rnacentral:rRNA from 1 species
UACGUAGGGGGCAAGCGUUGUCCGGAUUUAUUGGGCGUAAAGAGCUCGUAGGCGGUUUCGUAAGUCGGAUGUGAAACUCCAGCUCAACUUGGAGACGCCAUUCGAUACUGCGAUGACUUGAGUCCGGUAGGGGAGUGUGGAAUUCCUGGUGUAGCGGUGAAAUGCGCAGAUAUCAGGAGGAACACCGGCGGCGAAGGCGGCACUCUGGGCCGGUACUGACGCUGAGGAGCGAAAGCGUGGGUAGCAAACAGG